rnacentral:rRNA from 1 species
UACGUAGGGUGCGAGCGUUGUCCGGAAUUAUUGGGCGUAAAGAGCUUGUAGGCGGUUUGUCGCGUCUGCUGUGAAAAUCCGGGGCUCAACCUGGGAACUGCAUCCGAAACUGCCUUGCUCGAGUAUGGGAGAGGGAAGUGGAAUUCUCGGUGUAGAGGUGAAAUUCGUAGAUAUCGGGAGGAACACCAGUGGCGAAGGCGGCGACCUGGGCCAAUACUGACGCUGAGGUGCGAAAGCGUGGGGAGCAAACAGG